rnacentral:lncRNA from 1 species
ACACAGCAUGGCCAUGAGGGCUCCUGCUCAUCUCCUGGGGCUCCUGCUGCUUUGCUUCCCAGGUAAGGAGAACAGUACUGGGGAUUUGCUCAUCCCUCUCUGGUCAGUGAUGCCUGUCCCUUGGAGGAUGGCAUCUUGUAUCAUAAUUAAUGAUGUGGUGAUUUAAUUAUUUAUUUAUUUAUUUAUUUAUUUAUUUAUUUAUUUAUUUAAUGUUUUUCAAUGUCAGGUUCCAGAUGUGACAUCCAUAUGACCCAAUCUCCUUCAUCCUUGUCUGCAUUACAAGGAGACAGAGUGACCCUCAUCUGCAGAGCCAGUCAGGGCAUUAGCAAUAAUUUACACUGGUAUCAGCAGAAACCAGGAAAAGCUCCUAAGCUCCUCAUCACAUAUGCAAACAUUUUGCAAUCUGGGGUCCCCUCCAGGUUAAGUAGCAGUGAAUCAGGGGCAGAUUUCACUCUCAACAUCAGCAACCUGGAGCCUGAAGAUGUUGCCAUUUAUUUCUGUCAAUAAGACUACAGUGCCCCUCCCACAGUGAUACAGGCCAUGACAAAAACCUCCCAGGGAGCAGAAGUGUGAGGCUGGGAUACCCCAGCUGCUCCUCCUGCUGCCUCCACCUGCUGAUUGCACAGCUCAGAGUCACAGGCUCUGAGGUCACUGGGAGGGUUUCCUAGAGGUGAAGAAGGAGGAUUCUUUUUCCAGUGAUCCCCUUGCUUUUCCUCAGCCCCAGCAACUCAGAGAAGAC